rnacentral:tRNA from 1 species
AAAUGCCUAGAUGAGUACUCACUACUCCAUAAACA